UACGAAGGGGGCUAGCGUUGUUCGGAAUUACUGGGCGUAAAGGGCGCGUAGGCGGUCCUUCAAGUCAGGCGUGAAAGCCCCGGGCUCAACCUGGGAACCGCGCUUGAGACUGGCGGGCUAGAGUUCGGGAGAGGAUGGUGGAAUUCCCAGUGUAGAGGUGAAAUUCGUAGAUAUUGGGAAGAACACCGAUGGCGAAGGCAGCCAUCUGGACCGACACUGACGCUGAGGCGCGAAAGCGUGGGGAGCGAACAGG
rnacentral:rRNA from 1 species